rnacentral:rRNA from 1 species
GACGAACGCUGGCGGCGUGCUUAACACAUGCAAGUCGAACGAAGAGCGAUGGAAGCUUGCUUCUAUCAAUCUUAGUGGCGAACGGGUGAGUAACGCGUAAUCAACCUGCCCUUCAGAGGGGGACAACAGUUGGAAACGACUGCUAAUACCGCAUACGAUCCGACCUCGGCAUCGAGGAGGGAUGAAAGGUGGCCUCUAUUUAUAAGCUAUCACUGAAGGAGGGGAUUGCGUCUGAUUAGCUAGUUGGAGGGGUAACGGCCCACCAAGGCAAUGAUCAGUAGCCGGUCUGAGAGGAUGAACGGCCACAUUGGGACUGAGACACGGCCCAGACUCCUACGGGAGGCAGCAGUGGGGAAUCUUCCGCAAUGGACGAAAGUCUGACGGAGCAACGCCGCGUGAGUGAUGACGGCCUUCGGGUUGUAAAGCUCUGUUAAUCGGGACGAAAGGUCUUCUUGCGAAUAGUUAGAAGAAUUGACGGUACCGGAAUAGAAAGCCACGGCUAACUACGUG